CAAAGGUUUUACCAGCUGCUGUUUUAAUGAAACAACAGACGAACAAAAACAAGCCCGAAUAAAAAGCUGUUGUUGACUGACUCUGACCUGAUCAGAGGAAUCUGUUCUGUAACAUCAAACAGCAGUUAGUUU